rnacentral:rRNA from 1 species
GGCUGAAACCCGCCUCCAUGAAGUUGGAUUCGCUAGUAAUCGCGCAUCAGCCAUGGCGCGGUGAAUACGUUCCCGGGCCUUGUACACACCGCCCGUCAAGCCAUGGGAGCCGGGGGGUGCCUGAAGUUCGUGACCGCAAGGAGCGACCUAGGGCAAAACUGGUGACUGGGGCUAAGUCGUAACAAGGUAGC